GGGGGGGGGGGGGGGGGGGGGGGGGGGGGGGGGGGCGGGGGGGGGGGGGGGGGGGGGGGCGCGCGGGGGGGAGCGGCGGAGGGGUGAGGAACACGGGGGUGACCUAGCUGUAAGACGGGGAUAACUUCGGGCAACCGGAGCUAAUACCGGAUAAUAUAUUGAACCGCAUGGUUCAAUAGUGCAAGCCGGUUUUGCUGUCCCUUAUACAUGGAUCCGCGCCGCAGUAGCUAGUUGGUAAGGUCACGGCUUACCAAGGCGACGAUGCGUAGCCGACCUGAGAGGGUGAUCGGCCACACUGGAACUGAGACACGGUCCAGACUCCUAAGGGAGGCAGCAGUAGGGAAUCUUCCGCAAUGGGCGAAAGCCUGACGGAGCAACGCCGCGUGAGUGAUGAAGGUCUUCGGAUCGUAAAACUCUGUUAUUAGGGAAGAACAAAUGUGUAAGUAACUAUGCACGUCUUGACGGUACCUAAUCAGAAAGCCACGGCUAACUACGUG
rnacentral:rRNA from 1 species